AGCAGCCGCGGUAAUUCCAGCUCCAAUAGCGUAUAUUAAAGUUGUUGCAGUUAAAAAGCUCGUAGUUGAAUUUCGGGAUCAAUCUAUCGGUCGUGCAAUAGUACGUACUGAUUUUAUUGAUUCCUACCUUCUGAUGAACUAUGAUGUCAUUAAUUUGGUGUCAUAGGGAAUCAGGACUGUUACUUUGAAAAAAUUAGAGUGUUUAAAGCAGGCUCACGCUUGAAUACAUUAGCAUGGAAUAACGGAAUAGGACGUUUGAUUCUAUUUUGUUGGUUUCUAGGAUCGACGUAAUGAUUAAUAGGGAUAGUUGGGGGCAUUAGUAUUCAAUUGUCAGAGGUGAAAUUCUUGGAUUUAUUGAAGACUAACUACUGCGAAAGCAUUUGCCAAGGAUGUUUUCAUUAAUCAAGAACGAAAGUUAGGGGAUCGAAGACGAUCAGAUACCGUCGUAGUCUUAACCAUAAACUAUGCCGACUAGGGAUCGGAUGAUGUAAUUUUUAAUGACUCAUUC
rnacentral:sRNA from 1 species